rnacentral:rRNA from 1 species
UACGUAGGGUGCAAGCGUUAAUCGGAAUUACUGGGCGUAAAGCGUGCGCAGGCGGUGAUGUAAGACAGUUGUGAAAUCCCCGGGCUCAACCUGGGAACUGCGUCCGAUACUGGCAGGCUUGAAUCCGGGAGAGGGAUGUGGAAUUCCAGGUGUAGCGGUGAAAUGCGUAGAUAUCUGGAGGAACACCGGUGGCGAAGGCGGCAUCCUGGACCGGUAUUGACGCUGAUGCGCGAAAGCCAGGGGAGCAAACGGG